rnacentral:rRNA from 1 species
AGUCCGGAUUGGAGUCUGCAACUCGACUCCAUGAAGUCGGAAUCGCUAGUAAUCGCAGAUCAGCAUUGCUGCGGUGAAUACGUUCCCGGGCCUUGUACACACCGCCCGUCACACCAUGGGAGUUUGUUGCACCAGAAGCAGGUAGCUUAACCUUCGGGAGGGCGCUUGCCACGGUGUGGCCGAUGACUGGGGUGAAGUCGUAACAAGGUAGCCGUAUCGGAAGGUGCGGCUG